CAGUCGCCGCGGUAAUACGUAGGUGGCAAGCGUUGUCCGGAAUUACUGGGCGUAAAGCGUGCGCAGGCGGUUGUGUAAGACAGGUGUGAAAUCCCCGGGCUUAACCUGGGAACUGCGCUUGUGACUGCACAGCUAGAGUAUGGCAGAGGGGGGUGGAAUUCCACGUGUAGCAGUGAAAUGCGUAGAGAUGUGGAGGAACACCGAUGGCGAAGGCAGCCCCCUGGGCCAAUACUGACGCUCAUGCACGAAAGCGUGGGGAGCAAACAGGAUUAGAUACCCGCGUAGUCCCUGUCUCUUAUAC
rnacentral:rRNA from 1 species